rnacentral:rRNA from 1 species
GACGAACGCUGGCGGCGUGCCUAAUACAUGCAAGUCGAACGAACCGCGACUAGGUGCUUGCACUUGGUCAAGGUGAGUGGCGAACGGGUGAGUAACACGUGGGUAACCUACCUCAUAGUGGGGGAUAACAGUCGGAAACGACUGCUAAUACCGCAUAGGACAUAGGAUCACAUGAUCCAGUGAGGAAAGGUGGCGCAAGCUAUCGCUAAGAGAUGGGCCCGCGGUGCAUUAGCUAGUUGGUAGGGUAAAGGCCUACCAAGGCGAUGAUGCAUAGCCGACCUGAGAGGGUGAUCGGCCACAUUGGGACUGAGACACGGCCCAAACUCCUACUGGAGGCAGCAGUAGGGAAUCUUCCGCAAUGGACGCAAGUCUGACGGAGCAACGCCGCGUGAGUGAAGAAGGUCUUCGGAUCGUAAAGCUCUGUUGUUAGAGAAGAACAGCGCAUAGAGUAACUGUUAUGCGUGUGACGGUAUCUAACCAGAAAGCCACGGCUAACUACGUG